AGAACGAACGCUGGCGGCAUGCCUAAUACAUGCAAGUCGAACGAACUCUUCGGAGUUAGUGGCGCACGGGUGCGUAACGCGUGGGAAUCUGCCCUUGGGUUCGGAAUAACAGUUGGAAACGACUGCUAAUACCGGAUGAUGACGAAAGUCCAAAGAUUUAUCGCCCAGGGAUGAGCCCGCGUAGGAUUAGCUAGUUGGUGAGGUAAAGGCUCACCAAGGCGACGAUCCUUAGCUGGUCUGAGAGGAUGAUCAGCCACACUGGGACUGAGACACGGCCCAGACUCCUACGGGAGGCAGCAGUAGGGAAUAUGGACAAUGGGCAAAGCCUGAUCCAGCAAUGCCGCGUGAGUGAUGAAGGCCUUAGGUUGUAAAGCUACUUUUACCCGAGAUGAUAAUGACAGUAUCGGAAGAAUAAGCCCCGGACUAACUCCGCGCCAGCAGCCGAC
rnacentral:rRNA from 1 species